GACGAACGCUGGCGGCGUGCUUAACACAUGCAAGUCGAACGGAAAGGCCUUUUUCGGGGGGUAUUCGAGUGGCGAACGGGUGAGUAACACGUGAGUAACCCGUCCUCUACUUUGGGAUAACAUCUGAAAACUGGGGCUAAUACCGGAUAGGAGAUCCUGCGGCAUGGUGGGGGUGGGAAAGUUUCGGCGCGUGGGGGUGGGCUCGCGGCGUAUCAGCUUGUUUGUGUGGGAGGGGCUUACCAAGGCUUUGGCGGGUAGCCGGCCCGAGAGGGUGACCGGCCCCCUUGGGGCUGAGGUUCGGCCCCGGCUCCUACUGGAGGCCGCAGUGGGGAAUUUUGCACCAUGGGUGGAAGCCUGAUGCAGCAACGCCGUGUGCGGGAAGGCGGCCUUGGGGUUGUAAAACGCCUUCGGUCUUGACGAAGCUUUGUGUGACGGUAGUGGGUAAAGAAGCACCGGCUAACUACGUG
rnacentral:rRNA from 1 species